rnacentral:rRNA from 1 species
GAUCAUGGCUCAGAACGAACGCUGGCGGCAGGCCUAACACAUGCAAGUCGAACGCGACCUUCGGGUCGAGUGGCGCACGGGUGAGUAACGCGUGGGAAUCUGCCCUGUGGUACGGAAUAACAUCGGGAAACUGGUGCUAAUACCGGAUAAUGUCUUCGGACCAAAGAUUUAUCGCCCAGGGAUGAGCCCGCGUAGGAUUAGCUAGUUGGUGAGGUAAAGGCUCACCAAGGCGACGAUCCUUAGCUGGUCUGAGAGGAUGAUCAGCCACACUGGGACUGAGACACGGCCCAGACUCCUACGGGAGGCAGCAGUGGGGAAUAUUGGACAAUGGGCGAAAGCCUGAUCCAGCAAUGCCGCGUGAGUGAUGAAGGCCUUAGGGUUGUAAAGCUCUUUUACCCGGGAUGAUAAUGACAGUACCGGGAGAAUAAGCCCCGGCUAACUCCGUG